CAGUAGCCACGGUAAUACGGAGGAUCCAAGCGUUAUCCGGAAUCAUUGGGUUUAAAGGGUCCGUAGGCGGUCUUGUAAGUCAGUGGUGAAAGCCCAUCGCUCAACGGUGGAACGGCCAUUGAUACUGCAGGACUUGAAUUAUUGGGAAGUAACUAGAAUAUGUAGUGUAGCGGUGAAAUGCUUAGAGAUUACAUGGAAUACCAAUUGCGAAGGCAGGUUACUACCAAUUGAUUGACGCUGAUGGACGAAAGCGUGGGUAGCGAACAGGAUUAGAUACCCGAGUAGUCCCUGUCUCUUAUAC
rnacentral:rRNA from 1 species